rnacentral:rRNA from 1 species
UACGGGGGGGGGCAAGCGUUGUUCGGAAUUACUGGGCGUAAAGGGCUCGUAGGCGGCCAACUAAGUCAGACGUGAAAUCCCUCGGCUUAACCGGGGAACUGCGUCUGAUACUGGAUGGCUUGAGUUCGGGAGAGGGAUGCGGAAUUCCAGGUGUAGCGGUGAAAUGCGUAGAUAUCUGGAGGAACACCGGUGGCGAAGGCGGCGUCCUGGACCAACACUGACACUGAUGAGCGAAAGCCAGGGGAGCAAACGGG